UUCACUUGCAGUACAGGUAGAUACAGUCGAUUCACCGAAAGAGAAACUACUGCAACGUGAAAUAUGAUACUGACGUUUCAAUGCUAUAACCAGUUUUAAACAAAUAUUUCCAACUGCACCGGUGCUGUUUCAUAGCUUUAAUGUUACACAGCCAGCAUACAUAGUUUAUAAUGUCGGUUAUCAUUGGCAUAUUGCCAUACUCUGCUCAUAAGUACACGAACCAUGUCUCUGCUUAUUUUUAUUAAGUGGAAUUUGCAAGACCAUCAUUACCUUCGUAGAACAAUGCAUGCUUCCACAGCAUCCACACUGAACAGUAAUAAUAAAUCCAUCGGGGAGGGGGGACGAUUUAGAAAUCUGUUGGCGACUUUAAAAUGAAGAUGAAGUGCGGGGAGAAUGUUGUUAUUUUAAGGUCGCCGUGUUCCUGUAGCAUUUGCCACUGCAUUUAAAUUCUACUUGCACGCUGGCAGUCCUAUGCGUUUUACCUGCUUUACAUAGCAGUUUAAAUGUGUGUUUUUCCCAACGAUUGCCUUCUGUAUAUUUAUGCAAACAUUUGUACGUUUUUUUAUUAUGACUUUAUUUUGUUAAUUGGUUAUCAGUUAAAAUAAAUUAUAUUACAACAUGAUGUGGCCUUUUGGAGCUCUGCGAACGUUUUCAAUGACAAAAAACAAAACUUCCAAUUUAUAUCCUCGCUAGAAACCGCAGUUCAUGGAAACCCAUUUAUCACCUGGCACGAAACAGGAAAAUAUACGUUUUCACGAGAGGCUGUAAUUCAGCCAGUGUAAUUCAACUUUAAUUAUAUGCUAAAUGUCGACCUCGCCAGUGAUGAAAUAGAACAUGUUUGCUUACUGAUUUUCACUGGCUAUUCUGCUAACCCAGGGUCUUAAGUCAUUUUUUGCUUCUCAUCAGUUUUUGCUGUUUGUUGAUAAGGACUGGAAGGUCAAGUUGUUGAGCACAAAUCUGUAGCAGUUUAAAAGCAUUCUAUUAACAAGGAAAUUAAAUAAUGUAAUUUAAAGUGGAAAACUUUAUUAAACAUUUUAGAUCUAUCUAUCUAUCUAUCUAUCUAUCUAUCUAUCUAUCUAUCUAUCUAUCUAUCUAUCUAUCAACAUAUUUUAAACCUGAUUGAAAAUAAUAAAAAUAAAGCAUACAUUUAAGAUGGGCUGUGUCCCGGUGUCUUGAAAGUGUCCUAAGUUCACCCUGAUUGGUCGGGCUGUAUAGUGAUGUCACCCCACCAGCUAUUUGCCACGCCCCUAACCCUAAAUCUAGCACAGUAGUUAAGGGGACGCUAUUUCACAUGAAAACGGGGCACAGUCCAUAGAAUGAACAAUAUGAAUUUGUUGAUGCACAGUGAAUAAUAUUGUAUAUAUUUUUAAAUAAACAAAGCUGCCAGUUUUAUAAAGCUUACAUAUUAACAUGUUCAGUAUUAAUAUCUAAAACCGUACAUUCGAUUGUACUCCCAAAGUUAAUUUAUUGUUCACAAAAAGCCGACGUUUUGACACAGAAGUGCUUUCAACCGAGUGCAAUCCAGUGUGUGCAGUUUACUCUUCUUUUAUUAUUUGAUGGCGCGCGCCAGCCUUGUGAACAGCCAGCGGAGAGGCAGGGCACCCCUUGGCCCCAGAAAUGAAGGUUUGUGGGCCCCUCUCGACUGCCCGAACACACGCUUAGAAAAAUACACCUCCACACACAUAUUAACAGUGAAGGAGAAUCUGUAACAAUGGUAAUAAAACCUAUAAGAGAUUUUCAAGUAUUAGUUUGCACUGUUUUAUUGUAGUAUGUUUUUUAAAUCUGUAACUUUAAGGUAUUCUAAAAGGAUGCUCAAGUUUCCUUUGUGUAUAGAAUGGCAGUAAACCUCAAGGAAACAACUUUCCAAGUUCUAUAAUCUCAAUGAGAAAUCUGAAGAAUAGCAAUGCUCUCCCUAGGUUCAGCCAACGGUUGCAAGAAACUCUUAGAUUGCUGGCUCCUGAGUGUGAUGUCUCCUUUAUGCCCCGAGAGGGCAGCAGUGGGAUAGGAGCUGCAAUCGUAGCAGGCAAGGAACUACGGAAGAGAAGGCGUGGUCUGGUUUGAUCCAGCCUUAAUGAAAUCAGAAUUUGCAAGCUGUAUUACUGCACAGAAAUGAUGGAAUAAGCCUUCUUGAUUCUCUCCUGCAUAUCUUCUGUUGCCUCCAGUUGGGGUUGUAAUUGUCCCAGUUGGGGUUAUAAUUGUCCCAGUUGGUGAAUUUGUCUAGUCAUUCAAUUUGGGUACCAAGAAAAUAAAAAAUAAAACAUUUAAUGUCUAUGAAUACAUUAUUUUUAUUAUUUCUACAUUGUCUAAUUGUAUAAUACUUUGGAAUGAGUGAUGUAAUAAUACUGUAUGGAGCUUAUUUGUCACAGUUAAAAACAUGACGUGCUAUGAUAAUGCUAUGUCCUGUUCCCUUGGCUGCACAAAUGCAGUUUGUUUUUUUUGCUUUUAAACUUUCAUUUCGGUUUUACCGAAAACCAACUGAAUGUCAGAAACAUCCCUACUUUAUAUGUAUUACUGUACUGGUUUAAUUUUAAUAAAGCUGUUAUCACUGA